rnacentral:rRNA from 1 species
AAAUUGAAGAGUUUGAUCAUGGCUCAGAUUGAACGCUGGCGGCAGGCCUAACACAUGCAAGUCGAACGGUAACAGGAAGCAGCUUGCUGCUUCGCUGACGAGUGGCGGACGGGUGAGUAAUGUCUGGGAAACUGCCUGAUGGAGGGGGAUAACUACUGGAAACGGUGGCUAAUAUCGCAUAACGUCGCAAGACCAAAGAGGGGGACCUUCGGGCCUCUUGCCAUCAGAUGUGCCCAGAUGGGAUUAGCU